GGACGAACGCUGGCGGCGUGCCUAAUACAUGCAAGUCGAACGCUUCUUUCCUCCCGAGUGCUUGCACUCAAUUGGAAAGAGGAGUGGCGGACGGGUGAGUAACACGUGGGUAACCUACCCAUCAGAGGGGGAUAACACUUGGAAACAGGUGCUAAUACCGCAUAACAGUUUAUGCCGCAUGGCAUAAGAGUGAAAGGCGCUUUCGGGUGUCGCUGAUGGAUGGACCCGCGGUGCAUUAGCUAGUUGGUGAGGUAACGGCUCACCAAGGCCACGAUGCAUAGCCGACCUGAGAGGGUGAUCGGCCACACUGGGACUGAGACACGGCCCAGACUCCUACGGGAGGCAGCAGUAGGGAAUCUUCGGCAAUGGACGAAAGUCUGACCGAGCAACGCCGCGUGAGUGAAGAAGGUUUUCGGAUCGUAAAACUCUGUUGUUAGAGAAGAACAAGGACGUUAGUAACUGAACGUCCCCUGACGGUAUCUAACCAGAAAGACACGGCUAACUACGUG
rnacentral:rRNA from 1 species